rnacentral:rRNA from 1 species
UGGCGGCAGUAGCGCGGUGGUCCCACCUGACCCCAUGCCGAACUCAGAAGUGAAACGCCGUAGCGCCGAUGGUAGUGUGGGGUCUCCCCAUGCGAGAGUAGGGAACU